rnacentral:rRNA from 1 species
GAACGCGAAGAACCUUACCCGGGCUUGAACCAAGAGUGACGAGUGCAGAGAUGCGCUUAUUCUUCGGACACUUUUGGAGGUGCUGCAUGGUUGUCGUCAGCUCGUGCCGUGAGGUGUCGGCUUAAGUGCCAUAACGAGCGCAACCCUUUUCUACGUUUGCCAUCGGGUAAUGCCGGGAACUCCGUGGAUACUGCCGCCGCAAGGCGGAGGAAGGUGGGGAUGACGUCAAAUCAGCACGGCCCUUACGUCCGGGGCUACACACGUGUUACAAUGGUCGGAGCAGCAGGAAGCUACCUGGCGACAGGAUGCUGAUCCCAAAACCCGGCCUCAGUUCGGACUGGAGUCUGCAACCCGACUCCACGAAGCCGGAUUCGCUAGUAAUCGCGCAUCAGCCAUGGCGCGGUGAAUACGUUCCCGGGUCUUGUACACACC